AGAACGAACGCUGGCGGCAGGCCUAACACAUGCAAGUCGAACGCGAUCUUCGGAUCGAGUGGCGCACGGGUGAGUAACGCGUGGGAAUCUGCCCUGUGGUACGGAAUAACAUCGGGAAACUGGUGCUAAUACCGUAUAUCCCCUGAGGGGGAAAGAUUUAUCGCCAUGGGGAGGAGCCCGCGUAGGAUUAGCUAGUUGGUGAGGUAACGGCUCACCAAGGCGACGAUCCUUAGCUGGUCUGAGAGGAUGAUCAGCCACACUGGGACUGAGAUACGGCCCAGACUCCUACGGGAGGCAGCAGUGGGGAAUAUUGGACAAUGGGGGAAACCCUGAUCCAGCCAUGCCGCGUGUGUGAUGAAGGCCUUCGGGUUGUAAAGCACUUUCGCACGUGACGAUGAUGACGGUAACGUGAGAGAAGCCCCGGCUAACUCGUGCCAGCAGCCGC
rnacentral:rRNA from 1 species